rnacentral:rRNA from 1 species
AACGAACGCUGGCGGCAUGCCUAACACAUGCAAGUCGAACGAGACCUUCGGGUCUAGUGGCGCACGGGUGCGUAACGCGGGGGAACCGGCCCUUAGGUUCGGAAUAACUCCCCGAAAGGGGUGCUAAUACCGGAUAAUGUCUGCGGACAAAAGAUUUAUCGCCUUUGGAUGGGCCCGCGUUGGAUUAGCUAGUUGGUAGGGUAAAAGCCUACCAAGGCGACGAUCCAUAGCUGGUCUGAGAGGAUGAUCAGCCACCCUGGGACUGAGACACGGCCCAGACUCCUACGGGAGGCAGCAGUGGGGAAUAUUGGACAAUGGGCGAAAGCCUGAUCCAGCAAUGCCGCGUGAGUGAUGAAGGCCUUAGGGUUGUAAAGCUCUUUUACCCGGGAUGAUAAUGACAGUACCGGGAGAAUAAGCUCCGGCUAACUCCGUG